rnacentral:rRNA from 1 species
GACGGAGGAUGCAAGUGUUAUCCGGAAUCACUGGGCGUAAAGCGUCUGUAGGUGGUUCGAAAAGUCCACUGUUAAAAAUUGAGGCUUAACUUCAAAGAUGCCGUGGAAACUUUCAAACUAGAGUAUGGUAGGGGUAGAGGGAAUUUCCAGUGUAGCGGUGAAAUGCGUAGAUAUUGGGAGGAACACCAGUGGCGAAGGCGGCUCACUGGACCGGUACUGACGCUGAUGCGCGAAAGCGUGGGGAGCAAACGGG